GUGUCAGCCGCCGCGGUAAGACGAGGGGUGCAAACGUUAUUCGGAAUGAUUGGGUGUAAAGGGUGCGUAGGCGGUAUGUUAAGUCAAUCGUUAAAUUUUUCAGCUUAACUGAAAGUCAGCGGUAGAAACUGGCGUACUUGAGGAUGGAAGAGAGAAGUAGAAUUCUCGGAGUAGCGGUAAAAUGCGUAGAUCUCGAGAGGAAUACCGAUGGCGAAGGCAGCUUCUUGGUCCAUAUCUGACGCUGAGGCACGAAAGCGUGGGGAGCAAACAGGAUUAGAUACCCUGGUAGUCC
rnacentral:rRNA from 1 species